CGAAAUCAUCUCAAAGAACAAGCUGCUGGAUGACAAUCAGUCAGGCUUCAAAAGUGGACACUUCACCGAGACUGCCCUGCUGUCUGUAGGAACUGUGCUUGACUGGUUUAAUUAAUAUCUCUCAGCCCAACGGAACCACAGUGCCUGCUC